CUUAUUGCUCACAGUAGUACACUGGAAUCCAGCAGCUCAUUCUUACCCUCUCCAUAUUGUUGAAGUUUUUUACCUGAAAGAAUACAUGAAGGGAAGACAGCAGGAAAACCAGGUGCUUGUGAUGUUGGUUUACCAGAACACUGAAGUUUUCAGAACUUUUGCAAAUAGCACCUCAAAGCAAAAUUUUCCAGCAGGCUGCAAGUGAGCUCACUUUCCAAAAUACUUGAGUUGAAUACAACUGAAGUUAAUGAAAAGGAACUGCUGGCACCAGCUGUGUGGAAUGCAAGUUGUACAACGCUACUGAAAGAGAUUAUUUAAAAACACAGUGCAGUCUGAAAGUAGAAGGAAAGUCAGAUUCGUGGUGUGGAUCCUGGGGACAGAAGUUGCAGUGGCAAGUCCUGAAAUAAGCCUUCUCUUUUUUCAGGAUCACUACAGUGGCUCAUUUGUUACUGACGGUGGAUAUCUGUAGUAUUCUCAAACAUGGCUGGUUCCUUUGCUUUUAUUAACUUGAAGCAGAUAAGGGCAAAUAUAUUACAGCACAGUUAUGACUCAGAUGUUUGAAAUUUUCAUAAAAUAAGGGCUGCCUUAUUCUUCACAACACUACGUAUAUUUAGGCAAAAACAAAACAAAACAUGAAAACUUGUAUUUCUUGUAUUAACCGUGAUGCUAAAAUUGCAUGGAUUUGUGGAGAUGAACUGUGAGAACAUAAAGGUACAGAGGAAAUUUUAUUACUGGUCUCUGCAAAAUUAAAGGGGUUUAAAGUGGAAAAAACUCAUCAGUCUCCUUUUGAGAAACUCCAUCAGAGCCAUUUUGAAUAUGGGAAAAAGAAAACCCACAAAGUAUGUUGCAAGGGUAAUUGAACCCUGCACUAAACCAGAUGCCUUCAUGUGGCUCAGUAUAUGCAUAACACAAACUGUUCUUUCCUUGGCAUCAUCCUUAGAGCUACAGAUUUUGUAAAAUCCAUCUAAUCUCACCCUCCCAUACCUGCGUUUUGUCUGGAAUGCCACUAGGUAUGAAUAUUUGCUGGAAGUAGAAAGACAUCUAUCUGUGAAUAGCCGAUAGAAACAUUUCUGAUGAGUAAGAGGCAACAUUUCUUAAAUUAAUUUUUCUGCAUAACAGAUGUAUGCAUCAUCAGAAAGCCAUGAGUUACUUGUACUGUACUUUGUGAGUUACUUGUAGUUAUAUAAUCAUGGGUUUUUCUUGCUAGAAGAAAGAAUUAAUAAACAAAUAUUGCCAUUGUAACACAGAAAUAUGUAUUUAAAAGAGCUUGACUUAAAAAAAGCUAUGAUCUUUCCUAAGUGUGUUGCAAAGCUUUUAAGAAUAAUCAAGCAUUUAAAAGUUAUUUAACAUUUGGUAAGCUAUAUCUAUUAUUCAUGGUGGUAAAAUGAAUAAGUAAUAUCAAAUGACAGAAGAUUGUUGAAUUUUGCUUGUAAAAAAGAACUAUUACUGGAGACUGCUGUUACCUCACAAAAAGAAUCUUAAAAAUUAGGCAAAAAAAGGUUCUGCAUUAAAGCACACUCUUCUUUGU
rnacentral:lncRNA from 7 species